rfam:Beauveria bassiana D1-5 contig00270, whole genome shotgun sequence.
CCCUGCGCACCGCGCAGGGCUCCUGUUUAGCUGAUGCAAAAGGGGUCCGAUCGUG